ACUAAGCGUACACGGUGGAUGCCCUGGCAGUCAGAGGCGAUGAAGGACGUGCUAAUCUGCGAUAAGCGUCGGUAAGGUGAUAUGAACCGUUAUAACCGGCGAUUUCCGAAUGGGGAAACCCAGUGUGAUUCGUCACACUAUCAUUAACUGAAUCCAUAGGUUAAUGAGGCGAACCGGGGAACUGAAACAUCUAAGUACCCCGAGGAAAAGAAAUCAACCGAGAUUCCCCCAGUAGCGGCGAGCGAACGGGGAGCAGCCCAGAGCCUGAAUCAGUGUGUGUGUUAGUGGAAGCGUCUGGAAAGGCGUGCGAUACAGGGUGACAGCCCCGUACACAAAAAUGCACAUAUUGUGAGCUCGAUGAGUAGGGCGGGACACGUGGUAUCCUGUCUGAAUAUGGGGGACCAUCCUCCAAGGCUAAAUACUCCUGACUGACCGAUAGUGAACCAGUACCGUGAGGGAAAGGCGAAAAGAACCCCGGCGAGGGGAGUGAAAAAGAACCUGAAACCGUGUACGUACAAGCAGUGGGAGCACGCUUAGGCGUGUGACUGCGUACCUUUUGUAUAAUGGGUCAGCGACUUAUAUUCUGUAGCAAGGUUAACCGAAUAGGGGAGCCGAAGGGAAACCGAGUCUUAACUGGGCGUUAAGUUGCAGGGUAUAGACCCGAAACCCGGUGAUCUAGCCAUGGGCAGGUUGAAGGUUGGGUAACACUAACUGGAGGACCGAACCGACUAAUGUUGAAAAAUUAGCGGAUGACUUGUGGCUGGGGGUGAAAGGCCAAUCAAACCGGGAGAUAGCUGGUUCUCCCCGAAAGCUAUUUAGGUAGCGCCUCGUGAAUUCAUCUCCGGGGGUAGAGCACUGUUUCGGCAAGGGGGUCAUCCCGACUUACCAACCCGAUGCAAACUGCGAAUACCGGAGAAUGUUAUCACGGGAGACACACGGCGGGUGCUAACGUCCGUCGUGAAGAGGGAAACAACCCAGACCGCCAGCUAAGGUCCCAAAGUCAUGGUUAAGUGGGAAACGAUGUGGGAAGGCCCAGACAGCCAGGAUGUUGGCUUAGAAGCAGCCAUCAUUUAAAGAAAGCGUAAUAGCUCACUGGUCGAGUCGGCCUGCGCGGAAGAUGUAACGGGCUAAACCAUGCACCGAAGCUGCGGCAGCGACACUAUGUGUUGUUGGGUAGGGGAGCGUUCUGUAAGCCUGUGAAGGUGUACUGUGAGGUAUGCUGGAGGUAUCAGAAGUGCGAAUGCUGACAUAAGUAACGAUAAAGCGGGUGAAAAGCCCGCUCGCCGGAAGACCAAGGGUUCCUGUCCAACGUUAAUCGGGGCAGGGUGAGUCGACUCCUAAGGCGAGGCCGAAAGGCGUAGUCGAUGGGAAACAGGUUAAUAUUCCUGUACUUGGUGUUACUGCGAAGGGGGGACGGAGAAGGCUAUGUUGGCCGGGCGACGGUUGUCCCGGUUUAAGCGUGUAGGCUGGUUUUCCAGGCAAAUCCGGAAAACUAAGGCUGAGGCGUGAUGACGAGGCACUACGGUGCUGAAGCAACAAAUGCCCUGCUUCCAGGAAAAGCCUCUAAGCAUCAGGUAACAUCAAAUCGUACCCCAAACCGACACAGGUGGUCAGGUAGAGAAUACCAAGGCGCUUGAGAGAACUCGGGUGAAGGAACUAGGCAAAAUGGUGCCGUAACUUCGGGAGAAGGCACGCUGAUAUGUAGGUGAAGUCCCUCGCGGAUGGAGCUGAAAUCAGUCGAAGAUACCAGCUGGCUGCAACUGUUUAUUAAAAACACAGCACUGUGCAAACACGAAAGUGGACGUAUACGGUGUGACGCCUGCCCGGUGCCGGAAGGUUAAUUGAUGGGGUCAGCGCAAGCGAAGCUCUUGAUCGAAGCCCCGGUAAACGGCGGCCGUAACUAUAACGGUCCUAAGGUAGCGAAAUUCCUUGUCGGGUAAGUUCCGACCUGCACGAAUGGCGUAAUGAUGGCCAGGCUGUCUCCACCCGAGACUCAGUGAAAUUGAACUCGCUGUGAAGAUGCAGUGUACCCGCGGCAAGACGGAAAGACCCCGUGAACCUUUACUAUAGCUUGACACUGAACAUUGAGCCUUGAUGUGUAGGAUAGGUGGGAGGCUUUGAAGUGUGGACGCCAGUCUGCAUGGAGCCGACCUUGAAAUACCACCCUUUAAUGUUUGAUGUUCUAACGUUGACCCGUAAUCCGGGUUGCGGACAGUGUCUGGUGGGUAGUUUGACUGGGGCGGUCUCCUCCUAAAGAGUAACGGAGGAGCACGAAGGUUGGCUAAUCCUGGUCGGACAUCAGGAGGUUAGUGCAAUGGCAUAAGCCAGCUUGACUGCGAGCGUGACGGCGCGAGCAGGUGCGAAAGCAGGUCAUAGUGAUCCGGUGGUUCUGAAUGGAAGGGCCAUCGCUCAACGGAUAAAAGGUACUCCGGGGAUAACAGGCUGAUACCGCCCAAGAGUUCAUAUCGACGGCGGUGUUUGGCACCUCGAUGUCGGCUCAUCACAUCCUGGGCUGAAGUAGGUCCCAAGGGUAUGGCUGUUCGCCAUUUAAAGUGGUACGCGAGCUGGGUUUAGAACGUCGUGAGACAGUUCGGUCCCUAUCUGCCGUGGGCGCUGGAGAACUGAGGGGGGCUGCUCCUAGUACGAGAGGACCGGAGUGGACGCAUCACUGGUGUUCGGGUUGUCAUGCCAAUGGCACUGCCCGGUAGCUAAAUGCGGAAGAGAUAAGUGCUGAAAGCAUCUAAGCACGAAACUUGCCCCGAGAUGAGUUCUCCCUGACUCCUUGAGAGUCCUGAAGGAACGUUGAAGACGACGACGUUGAUAGGCCGGGUGUGUAAGCGCAGCGAUGCGUUGAGCUAACCGGUACUAAUGAACCGUGAGGCUUAACC
rnacentral:rRNA from 1 species